rnacentral:lncRNA from 14 species
CAGCAUUCAACCCAGCUCUCUAGAGAAGGGCCACAAUCCCAGACGUUUUCCUGGAGACAUUCACGAUUCUAGGCCCCGCAGAUCGAUCUGGGUCCACUAAAACGCAGCAGGAAUCGGGGGAAAGUAGAG